GACGAACGCUGGCGGCGUGCUUAACACAUGCAAGUCGAGCGGUAAGGCCCUUUCGGGGGCACACGAGCGGCGAACGGGUGAGUAACACGUGGGUGACCUGCCCUCAGCUCUGGGAUAAGCCUGGGAAACCGGGUCUAAUACUGGAUAUGACUCCAUGACGCAUGUUGUGGGGUGGAAAGCCUUGUGCGGCUGAGGAUGGGCCCGCGGCCUAUCAGCUUGUUGGUGGGGUGAUGGCCUACCAAGGCGACGACGGGUAGCCGGCCUGAGAGGGCGACCGGCCACACUGGGACUGAGACACGGCCCAGACUCCUACGGGAGGCAGCAGUGGGGAAUCUUGUGCAAUGGGCGAAAGCCUGACGCAGCGACGCCGCGUGAGGGAUGACGGCCU
rnacentral:rRNA from 1 species